ACUCCGUAGGUGAACCUGCGGAGGGAUCAUUACAGAGCUCAUGCCCUACCGGGUAGAUCUCCCACCCUAUGUUAUUAUUACUUUGUUGCUUUGGCGGGCCGUUAGGCUCCGGCCCGACUACUGGCCCCGGCUGGUAAGCGCCCGCCAGAGGACCCAAAACCCUGAAUAUUAGUGUCGUCUGAGUACUAUAUAAUAGUUAAAACUUUCAACAACGGAUCUCUUGGUUCUG
rnacentral:misc_RNA from 1 species